rnacentral:rRNA from 1 species
GAUGAACGCUAGCGGCAGGCCUAACACAUGCAAGUCGAGGGGUAGAACACUUCGGUGUUUGAGACCGGCGCACGGGUGCGUAACGCGUAUGCAAUCUACCUUGUACAGAGGGAUAGCCCAGAGAAAUUUGGAUUAAUACCUCAUAGUGUUAUCGAAUGGCAUCGUUUGAUAACUAAAGUUCCAACGGUACAAGAUGAGCAUGCGUCCCAUUAGUUAGUUGGUAAGGUAACGGCUUACCAAGACAAUGAUGGGUAGGGGUCCUGAGAGGGAGAUCCCCCACACUGGUACUGAGACACGGACCAGACUCCUACGGGAGGCAGCAGUGAGGAAUAUUGGACAAUGGGCGCAAGCCUGAUCCAGCCAUGCCGCGUGCAGGAUGACUGCCCUAUGGGUUGUAAACUGCUUUUUAUACAGGAAGAAACACUGCUACGAGUAGCAGCUUGACGGUACUGUAGGAAUAAGGAUCGGCUAACUCCGUGCCAGCAGCCG